rnacentral:rRNA from 1 species
GUUAUGUGGUCAAGCGAGUAAGCGCGUACGGUGGAUGCCUUGGCGGUAGGAGGCGAUGAAGGACGUGGUAGUCUGCGAUAAGCCUCGGGGAGUCGGCAAACAGGCUUUGAUCCGGGGAUGUCCGAAUGGGGAAACCCACCGCUUCGGCGGUAUUUACAUCUGAAUACAUAGGAUGUAAAGGCGAACCCGGUGAACUGAAACAUCUAAGUAACCGGAGGAAAAGAAAUCAACCGAGAUUCCCUGAGUAGUGGCGAGCGAAAUGGGAUCAGCCAGCACUCUUUAGCACGCGGCCUAGUUGAACGGUCUGGAAAGUCCGGCCAUAGUAGGUGAUAGCCCUGUAAACGAAAGGUUGUGUGUGGAACUAAGUGUGCGACAAGUAGGGCGGGACACGAGAAAUCCUGUUUGAAGAUGGGGGGACCAUCCUCCAAGGCUAAAUACUACCUACCGACCGAUAGUGAACCAGUACCGUGAGGGAAAGGCGAAAAGAACCCCUGUUAGGGGAGUGAAAUAGAACCUGAAACCGUAUGCGUACAAGCAGUCGGAGCCUCGGUCUGACCGGGGUGACGGCGUACCUUUUGUAUAAUGGGUCAGCGACUUACUUCUCAGUGGCAAGGUUAACCGUUUAGGGGAGCCGUAGGGAAACCGAGUCUGAAUAGGGCGAUUGAGUCUCUGGGAGUAGACCCGAAACCGGACGAUCUACCUAUGGCCAGGUUGAAGGCGCGGUAACACGUGCUGGAGGACCGAACCAACUAAUGUUGAAAAAUUAGUGGAUGAGCUGUGGGUAGGAGUGAAAGGCUAAUCAAGUUCGGAGAUAGCUGGUUCUCCCCGAAAGCUAUUUAGGUAGCGCCUCGUGUCUCACUCUCGGGGGUAGAGCACUGUUAUGGCUAGGGCUGCAUCCAGCGGUACCAACCCAUUGCAAACUCCGAAUACCGAGAAGUGCAAUCACGGGAGACAGACUACGGGAGAUAAGUUCCGUGGUCGAAAGGGAAACAGCCCAGACCGCCAGCUAAGGUCCUUAAAUCAUUGCUCAGUGGGAAACGAUGUGGGAAGGCCCAGACAGCCAGGAGGUUGGCUUAGAAGCAGCCAUCCUUUAAAGAAAGCGUAACAGCUCACUGGUCGAGUCGGCCUGCGCGGAAGAUUCAACGGGGCUUAAGCAAUGUACCGAAGCUGCGGAUGCGUGUUUAUCACGCAUGGUAGGGGAGCGUUCUGUAAGCUGUCGAAGGUGUGCUGUAAGGCAUGCUGGAGGUAUCAGAAGUGCGAAUGCUGACAUGAGUAGCGAUAAAGGGGGUGAAAAACCCCCUCGCCGGAAGCCCAAGGUUUCCUGCGCCACGUUAAUCGGCGCAGGGUGAGUCGGACCCUAAGGCGAGGCCGAAAGGCGUAGUCGAUGGGAAUCAGGUUAAUAUUCCUGAACCGUGUAUAACAGUGAUGGGGGGACGGAGAAGGCUAGAUCAGCCGGGUGUUGGACAUCCCGGUUUAAGCGUGUAGGAAGCAUUUCCAGGAAAAUCCGGAAGUGCAUAUUCUGAGGCGUGAUGACGAGCACAUUACGAUGCGAAGUGAUUGAUGCCAUGCUUCCAGGAAAAGCCUCUAAACUUAUGUUAUACGCGACCGUACCCCAAACCGACACAGGUGGGCGGGGCGAGAAGCCCAAGGCGCUUGAGAGAACUCGGGUGAAGGAACUCGGCAAAAUGACACCGUAACUUCGGGAGAAGGUGUGCCUCUGGUAUGUGAAAGCCCUGCGGCUGGAGCAGAAGGAGGUUGCAACAAAGAGGUGGCUGCGACUGUUUACUAAAAACAUAGCACUCUGCAAACUCGCAAGAGGACGUAUAGGGUGUGACGCCUGCCCGGUGCCG